rnacentral:lncRNA from 10 species
CCGAGGUCAAGCUGGGGGGUGGGGGUGGAAGGCCUUGGAGAGGCCUAAGGGGACAGUAUGUUCCUGCCAGUGAGACAGUCACGGGAGUUUCCAGAGCUGCCAGGCCAUCAAAGCAGGAAAACACCUGACACCCUGGACCUGGGCUGGACCCACCACCCUCACCCUCUGGAGUCGCACGCGCUCCCAGGCGAGCCCUGAGCCCUGAGCCCCUCCCUCGAGCAGCUGCUGUAAGGGUAUUUAUAGCCUGGAGCGUGAGGGGGCAAGGACACGCGCUUUAUUUCGGAAGUGAUAAUUCCAGCUCCAGAGCUGCUGCUUUAGGGGUCUUCCAGGGGACCCCAGCCUUCUUUGUCCUCCCUCCAUGCUUAAGUGUCCACCAGGCCCUCCUUGGAAGAAGCCACAAGUAAGCAUCAGGACACCCUUCACCUCAUGAAAAGCCACAGCAGAAGCCAACCAGGCUGUCUGGCCCAGGCAGCUGCCCGGCACUUCGGAGAAACUGAGGCUCAAACCACUCCAGAGAUGACAAGUCCUGUCACCUUCAGGGAGGCGGAGGCCAAAGACAAAACUUGAAGGUCAGAGUCCAAGGCUGCCAAGCUUCGCCCCUGGGAAAUAAAACUUAUCAAAAAUGCUACUCAGAGGGUGACCCACGCUAAUUAGAAAACCGUGGCCGGCUCUGGCCAAUUUCAGAUCCAUUAGUAAACAUUUAAUGAGCACCUACCUGCUGUGUGCAGCUCCC